UUGUGGAGGAGGACGCCGAAGGUGGGGCUAAUGACUGGGGUGAAGUCGUAACAAGGUAGCCGUACCGGAAGGUGCGGCUGGAUCACCUCCUAACAGGGAGACAACAAAAUGUUUAAUAUUAUUAUUUUGUCACCUUAGGUCGAUCGGUAUCUCACAUUUUUAAUUUAUUAAGAAUUUCAUUUCCUAAGUUUUUCUAGGUCACACCCAUUAUUUUUCCUGGGCCAUUAGCUCAGGUGGUUAGAGCGCACCCCUGAUAAGGGUGAGGUCCCUGGUUCAAGUCCAGGAUGGCCCAUAUCUCUAUGUUGGGGGUAUAGCUCAGUUGGUAGAGCGCCUGCUUUGCAAGCAGGAUGUCAGCGGUUCGAGUCCGCUUACCUCCACUGAUCACCACCUCUUCCAUAAUCGGUAGAAAGGAAAUUUUUUGAGUUGUGAUCAAAUUCUGAAAGAAUCUAGCUUCCUAAUGAAAUCAUUAAGAUGCUGGACUCAUUGAAUUAAUUUCAUUGUUUUCAGAGAACCUUGACAACUGCAUAGAUUAUUUUUAAAGACAAUAAGCAUCUUUAAUGAUGCAGAUUUAUUAUUUGUGCAAAUGCAUUAAUAACAAUUCUAUUAAGCUGAUGCUUCAAUAUUGAAGUUAUUGGUCAAGCUACAA
rnacentral:misc_RNA from 1 species